rnacentral:rRNA from 1 species
UACAGAGGUCCCAAGCGUUUGUUCGGAUUUCACUUGGGCGUAAAGGGUGCGUAGGCGGUCGGGGUAAGUCUGAUGUGAAAUCUCACAGCUUUAACUGUGAAACUGCAUUUGGAUACUAUCCGGCUCGAGGAAUGGAGGGGGAGACUGGAAUACUUUGGUGUAGCAGUGAAAUGCGUAGAUAUCAAGUGGAACACCAGUGGCGAAGGCGAGUCUCUGGACAUUUUCCUGACGUGAGGCACGAAAAGCCAGGGGGAGCAAAACGGG